rnacentral:rRNA from 1 species
CAGCCGCCACGGUAAAACGAAGGGUGCAAGCGUUACUCGGAAUUACUGGGCGUAAAGCGUGCGUAGGUGGUGGUUUAAGUCUGCUGUGAAAGCCCUGGGCUCAACCUGGGAAUUGCAGUGGAUACUGGAUCACUAGAGUGUGGUAGAGGGAUGCGGAAUUUCUGGUGUAGCAGUGAAAUGCGUAGAGAUCAGAAGGAACAUCCGUGGCGAAGGCGGCAUCCUGGGCCAACACUGACACUGAGGCACGAAAGCGUGGGGAGCAAACAGGAUUAGAUACCCCUGUAGUCCCUGUCUCUUAUAC